CGCUUUAAAUCAUCUCCAACUAGAUCCCUUUACACAAACUUAACCGGCGCAAUUCACUAGCCGGUUUUAGAUAUCACAGAAUUGCCCACCGUUCUCAAUUGUAGUAAAGAUAGCCCGAAAAGGUGAAAUUAUCACGGUUUUACCUUCCCGAGCCUAAGAGACCAUCACCGUCUUAGUUCCUUUCCUGCCGGAGUAGCUGAAUCUUGAUGAAUUCACCAUCCUUGUAAUUGAUCCGAUCAAGGAAGCACUACAAACACCAGACUAUCAGCAGAGGAUAGAAAUAUCGUCAAAAGCUGAUGACACCGACAAAACAAACAUCCUCCAAAGAAAAACGAGAUGCGAUGGUAGAAAAAACUGGAUCAAUAAAUUCAUAACCUGCAAAAGGAGAGGAGAACAUUCUACCAAGACAACAAAAAAAUUAUCUCGACAUUGGAAUGACCAAUCCCCACCAGGUCUCCAAGUCGCAAAUCAAACUAGCUGACUCAAUCGGAGCAACUAAACGACAUCUUGGGCUGGACCAGAGAACCUUAUUAUGUCCUCUUUGCGCGUGGGGCUUCUCGACG
rnacentral:lncRNA from 1 species